GCCUAAAAGGGCAAUUGUGGGAUUUAAAUGUGAGAUUAGCAUUGAAUAUAAUUGUAACCCACGACCAGUUUUCAUACCAAUCGUCCUGCCUUCAAUUAGUCGCUUCAAUCCUCCCCUCCGUUUCCAUCCCACCCUUGUUAAGCUAUGGUUCAUGAUUAGAAAGAGAGAGAGAGAGAGCGACAAAUCGGAAGCGAUUGGAAGCAAGAUCGAUUUAGAAGCAGGCCCGACCAGAAGCUAGGGUUUUACGUAUUCCAUUCAGAUUCAGGCUGUUGUAAGCAGGGGAGAGUUUGGUGUUCUCGGACCUGAUGAUGAUUGCUGGAGCCAAAUGGCUGGCAGAAUUCCUUCUCCUGAUGAGAUCGUGUAUGCGUUCAAUGGAAAAGACCAAGACAACGAUGACAUAUUCAUCAGUUUUAUAUGCUAGCAACUAAUCGUAAUCUGUAUAUUAUUGUUGCAGAUAAUAAUUAAUUUGACUACAUCCGUGAAGCUAAAAUCACAUCAACUAAUAUAUCUGUAAUUUGACACAUUGGCAUUGCAAAGGA